rnacentral:tRNA from 1 species
GGGCCCAUAGCUCAGUUGGCAGAGCCCCCGGCUCAUAACCGGAUGGUCCGAGGUUCGAAUCCUCGUGGGCCCA